GGAGUUAGCCGGUGCUUCUUCUGUGAGUGAUGUCCUUCCUGCCGGCUAUUAACCCGCAGGCCUUCUUCCUCACUGAAAGUGCUUUACAACCCGAAGGCCUUCUUCACACACGCGGCAUGGCUGGAUCAGGGUUGCCCCCAUUGUCCAAUAUUCCCCACUGCUGCCUCCCGUAGGAGUCUGGGCCGUGUCUCAGUCCCAGUGUGGCUGAUCAUCCUCUCAGACCAGCUACGGAUCGUCGCCUUGGUGAGCCGUUACCUCACCAACCAGCUAAUCCGACAUAGGCUCAUCCGAUAGCGCGAGGCCCGAAGGUCCCCCGCUUUCCCCCGUAGGGCGUAUGCGGUAUUAGCCUGGGUUUCCCCAGGUUAUCCCCCACUACCGGGCAGAUUCCUAUGCAUUACUCACCCGUCCGCCGCUCGCCACCAGGGAGCAAGCUCCCCGUGCUGCCGCUCGACUUGCAUGUGUUAGGCCUGCCGCCAGCGUUCAAUCUGAGCCANGANACAACUACUGA
rnacentral:rRNA from 1 species